rnacentral:rRNA from 1 species
GACAGAGGUGCCAAGCGUUAGGCGGAAUCACUGGGCUUAAAGCGUGUGUAGGCGGGCGAUCAAGCACCUUGUGAAAUCCCACGGCUCAACCGUGGAACUGCUGGGUAUACUGGUUGUCUUGAGCCAGCUAGGGGCGAGCGGAACAGACGGUGGAGCGGUGAAAUGCGUAGAUAUCGUCUGGAACGCCGAAGGUGAAAACAGCUCGCUGGGGCUGCGCUGACGCUGAGACACGAAAGCCAGGGGAGCGAACGGG